CGGCCUGAAGUGAUGAUUCACAUUCAUGUCUCUUCUCUGAGGAACUACUGAAGGAAACUGUGUAUCUGAUCAGGCCU
ensembl:snoRNA Gm22193 predicted gene, 22193